UUUCGCAUCGGUCACUAUUUUCGGUAUUUUCGGUUAUCAUUUCGGUGGCUGCAUUCCGUAUCGGUGACGUUCGACGUUUGAUAGUUCAUCAAAUAGUAGCGCUGUUAUUUGGUCAAUUUGGUCACCUGUCAGCUGCGCUACUGUUUUAGCAGCGCGUUUAGUAGCGACCGGUAAAGUGUCAAGUAAUGAUACUGCGCUGACAAACGGCUUAUACUCACCACCGAAAUGAAGCUUAUGAUAAAUAAAAUACUGCUGCUUACUGGUCCCUGAUUGAAGAUCGUUCAGUGGCUACCAUUGGCCAAUCUCACCAACGGGAUAUAAUAAGAACUGAUGCAGAUACAGGCAACCCACUUAACUUUGGAAGUAGUGCGCUGGAUUCGUCUAAAGAUAUGCUAAACAACCGGAGGAAAAUAAAAUGAUAUGUAAAACAAUUAAUUGUAUUGUAUUUUUAUUGUAAUAUUGGAGUAUAAUGUAUUCUAAAUCCUGUUGUAUUUCUAUUGUAAAACAAUAGAAACAGUAAUUGAAAACAUUUAAAACACAAUGUUUUCUAUUGUUUUGUCGCUCGAAAUCAUCCCAUUGAAGAACCGUAAAAUCAAU